GAUGAACGCUAGCGGCAGGCUUAAUACAUGCAAGUCGAGGGGCAGCGCAGUGUAGCAAUACAUGGGCGGCGACCGGCAAACGGGUGCGGAACACGUACGCAACCUUCCUUUAAGUGGGGGAUAGCCCAGGGAAACUUGGAUUAAUACCCCGUAAUAUUAUGAAGUGGCAUCACGUUAUACUUAUAGCUCCGGCGCUUAAAGAUGGGCGUGCGACUGAUUAGGUAGUUGGCGGGGUAACGGCCCACCAAGCCUGCGAUCAGUAACUGGUGUGAGAGCACGACCAGUCACACGGGCACUGAGACACGGGCCCGACUCCUACGGGAGGCAGCAGUAAGGAAUAUUGGUCAAUGGACGCAAGUCUGAACCAGCCAUGCCGCGUGGAGGAUGAAGGUCCUCUGGAUUGUAAACUUCUUUUAUUCGGGAAGAAGCCCACUGUUUCUACGGUGGUUGACGGUACCAGAUGAAUAAGCACCGGCUAACUCCGUGCCAGCAGCCGCGGUAAUAC
rnacentral:rRNA from 1 species